rnacentral:tRNA from 1 species
GAACACAUGGCUCAGUGGUCAUGAGCGUUAGACCAGUAACCUAAAGGUUGAUGGUUCAAACCUCAUUUUGGUCA